UACAGAGGUCUCAAGCGUUGUUCGGAUUCAUUGGGCGUAAAGGGUGCGUAGGUGGCGCUGUAAGUCGGGUGUGAAAUUUCGGAGCUUAACUCCGAAACUGCAUUCGAUACUGCGGUGCUUGAGGACUGGAGAGGAGACUGGAAUUCAUGGUGUAGCGGUGAAAUGCGCAGAUAUCAGGAGGAACACCGGUGGCGAAGGCGGGUCUCUGGGCCGAAACUGACGCUGAGGAGCGAAAGCGUGGGGAGCGAACAGG
rnacentral:rRNA from 1 species